AUUGAACGCUGGCGGCAUGCCUUACACAUGCAAGUCGAACGGUAACAGGUCUUCGGAUGCUGACGAGUGGCGAACGGGUGAGUAAUACAUCGGAACGUGCCCGAUCGUGGGGGAUAACGGAGCGAAAGCUUUGCUAAUACCGCAUGCGAUCUACGGAUGAAAGCAGGGGACCGCAAGGCCUUGCGCGGACGGAGCGGCCGAUGGCAGAUUAGGUAGUUGGUGGGAUAAAAGCUUACCAAGCCGACGAUCUGUAGCUGGUCUGAGAGGACGACCAGCCACACUGGGACUGAGACACGGCCCAGACUCCUACGGGAGGCAGCAGUGGGGAAUUUUGGACAAUGGGCGAAAGCCUGAUCCAGCCAUGCCGCGUGCAGGAUGAAGGCCUUCGGGUUGUAAACUGCUUUUGUACGGAACGAAAAGACUCUUUCUAAUAAAGAGGGUCCAUGACGGUACCGUAAGAAUAAGCACCGGCUAACUACGCG
rnacentral:rRNA from 1 species